rnacentral:tRNA from 1 species
UAACCCUAUAGUUUAUAGAAAAUUGAUGAUUUGCAUUCAGAGGAAGGGUAUCUAGCUUAGACUAGAGAAGAAUAUUA